rnacentral:rRNA from 1 species
CACGUAGGGGCCAAGCGUUGUCCGGAUUUAUUGGGCGUAAAGAGCUCGUAGGCGGUUGGGUAAGUCGGGUGUGAAAACUCCAGGCUCAACUUGGAGACGCCACCCGAUACUGCUCUGACUUGAGUUCGGUAGGGGAGUGGGGAAUUCCUGGUGUAGCGGUGAAAUGCGUAGAUAUCUGGAGGAACACCGGUGGCGAAGGCGGCAUCCUGGACCAAUAUUGACGCUGAGGAGCGAAAGCCAGGGGAGCAAACGGG